CCCGCCGCUGGGACAGCAGCAGCUCCCAGCCAAGCCCGGCAGUUCCAUCCAUCCAUCGGCGUGGUGGGGCGGCGGGCAGCGGCGCACGGUGCUGCAGCUCACGACUGCAUCUGGCCUUGACCUUCUCAGCAGCAGAUCAGGAUCCUGAAACCCUUCACUACAAGGAGAAGAGCACUGAUGGAGGAGCAGGCUGCAAGAACGCAAGAGCGCUGCCCGGAGAUUUUGGGCUGUGGUGAGAAGAUACCAGACAAUAACUUAAGAAAAUCUGCCCAUUGGAAUCUGAGCUUCAGAAGUGCUAAUGGCCAGGAUAAUGUGUUAUUUAUUGCAAACAGGCAUCUGCAGUGGCCUCAAAGGCCUGGAUGUCCAACUGCUACAAGCAUCAAAAUCCCACUGCAGAGUCUCAGUCCCAAAUUCAGUCUCCAAAGCCAAACAGUGAUGGUAUCACAUUCGCUUUUCAUUUCUCUGUGGGCACUGUGCCCAUGCAGUUAUAACACAGCUGAGUCUGAUUUUCAUAUAGUUCAUUGUUUACUUAUGAUUUACUAUAAAGUUGAGCUUGUCUUAUUUAUGAGCAGCCAUGAAGAUAUGGGAUUUCAUCCACUGGGUGAUGACUCAUUCAUUGGGUUGGACUCUUUAGCUCCUAAUACGUGACAUAUUUUGGACUAUUGGAUGAACAGCAUUUCUGCAUCAGCCCAAAUUAAAUGAGGUGAAUGGAAAUAAUUAGUUGUUUGUUUUUAAAAUCAUGUUUGUAGCUGGGUUUGUGCUGGUUCAGCUCCGGGCUCGUUCUAGCAAUGUGCACAAGGGCAGGAUGAGUUGCUGUAUGCUAUGGUGGAGAGGUGAUGAGCAGCACUUCUGAGUCAGACGUCUAAACACGCCAGGGGCGACUUUGCUUUGUUUCUGUUGCACAAGGAAGAGCUUUGCGGUGAUGGAGCAUUUGAUACUUUCUAUGAACUUUAAUGACUGCAAGAUUUCUUGUGCUGCUGCAAACAAUUUGAGAAACUAAUUUGUAAAAUCACUCAUAAAAAUCUCAUGUUCUUUCUGUAAUAAUAAAACU